rnacentral:pre_miRNA from 1 species
UCUUGAAGCAACAGUUACAAGUAAACAUGUUGUUUCCUAGUAACGAAACUUCAAGUGGCA